GGACUACUGGGGUUUCUAAUCCCGUUUGCUCCCCUGGCUUUCGUGUCUCAGUGUCAGCACUUCCCCAGCGAGUUGUUUUCACCAUUGGCGUUCCAAAUGAUAUCUACGCAUUUCACCGCUCCACCAUUUGUUCCACUCGCCCCUAGAAGGCUCAAGACCAGCAGUAUACCGAGCAGUUCCACGGUUAAGCCGUGGGAUUUCACAAGGUACUUACCAGUCCACCUACACACGCUUUAAGCCCAGUGAUUCCGCCUAACGCUUGGCACCUCUGUCUUACCGCGGCUGCUGGCAC
rnacentral:rRNA from 1 species